rnacentral:rRNA from 1 species
CGCCCAGACUCCUACGGGAGGCAGCAGUGAGGAAUAUUGGUCAAUGGGCGAGAGCCUGAACCAGCCAAGUCGCGUGAGGGAGUACUGCCCUAUGGGUUGUAAACCUCUUUUGUCGGGGAGCAAAAGCCGGACGUGUCCGGCUGUGAGAGUACCCGAAGAAAAAGCAUCGGCUAACUCCGUGCCAGCAGCCGCGGUAAUACGGAGGAUGCGAGCGUUAUCCGGAUUUAUUGGGUUUAAAGGGUGCGCAGGCGGAUUUUUAAGUCAGCGGUCAAAUCGUGGGGCUCAACCCCAUCCAGCCGUUGAAACUGGGGAUCUAGAGUGUGCGAGAGGUAUGCGGAAUGCGUGGUGUAGCGGUGAAAUGCAUAGAUAUCACACAGAACACCGAUUGCGAAGGCAUCUCACGAAUCCGCGAUUGACGCUGAUGCACGAAAGCGUGGGUAUCAAACAGGAUUAGAUACCCGUGUAUG